rnacentral:lncRNA from 1 species
AGCUUCAGUGCCUACGAACUUAGACAACAUGACCACAAGGGCAGUCAGCCACGGUGCUGUGAAAUUCGCGCGUCUUGACCAAUGAUCUAUACAGUGGUCAUGACCCAUUGACAACAGUUUUUAGUUUUGCCUAUGUCAGGUUUUGGCCAUUUGUGAUGAGCCUAUUAACGACAUCAAUAAUAAGGUUCAGGAUCCUGGACAGCGUUGAUAAAAAAAAACGAGAGUGGUUCCAGCAUAGUGGACCCCAUCAUUGGCAUCUGCGUCAUUGGAGUGAUCACUGUCACAUGUCUGCUGGCCAUGUCAUUGGCUGGGAUGGAAUGGGAGUCCAAGGGAGGGCCUUCUCCCUCAGCUGUGGACACUGCCAGUAGCUACAGUCAUGUGACCUGACUGAACAAGUGGCGGAUCAAGUCCUUGUAUCAAGGUGUGGUGACAGAUGACCUGCACACUGGGUUUCAGAUGCUGCUCCAGGGUGCAGGUUUGGUCAGAUGUCCUCCUGAUGGGGUUAAAAAGGAACUUGCAUAAAAUCAAAUAAAAAAUCAAAUCAAAUUUUAUUGGUCACAUACACAUGGUUAGCAGAUGUUAAUGCGAGUGUAGCGAAAUGCUUGUGCUUCUAGUUCCGACCAUGCAGUAAUAUCUAACAAGUAAUCUAACAAUUUCACAACUACCUUAAAUACACAAGUGUAAAGGAAUGAAUAAGAAUAUGUACAUAUAAAUAUAUGGAUGAGUGAUGGCCGAACGGCAUAGGCAAGAUGCAGUAGAUGGUAUAGAGUACAGUAUAUACAUAUGAGAUGCGUAAUAUAGGGUAUGUAAACAUUAUAUAAAGUAGCAUUGUUUAAAGUGACUAGUGAUACAUUUAUUACAUCCAAUUUUUAAUUAUUAAAGUGGCUAGAGAUUUGAGUCAGUAUGUUGGCAGCAGCCACUCAAUGUUAGUGAUGGCUGUUUAACAGUCUGAUGGCCUUGAGAUAGAAACUGUUUUUCAGUCUCUCAGUCCCAGCUUUGAUGCACCUGUACUGUCCUCGCCUUCUGGAUGGUAGCGGGUGUGAACAGGCAGUGGCUCGGGUGGUCGUUGUCCUUGAUGAUCUUUUUGGCCUUCCUGUGACAUCGGGUGGUGUAGGUGUCCUGGAGAGCAGGUAGUUUGCCCCCGGUGAUGCGUUGUGCAGACCUCACUACCCUCUGGAGAGCCUUGCGGUUGUGUGCGGAGCAGUUGCCAUACCAGGCUGUGAUACAGCCCGACAGGAUGCUCUCGAUUGUGCAUCUGUAAAAGUUUGUGUGUGUUUUUGGUGACAAGCCAAAUUUCUUCAGCCUCCUGAGGUUGAAGAGGUGCUGUUGCGCCUUCUUCACCACAUUGUCUGUGUGGGUGGAUCAUUUCAGUUUGUCCUUGAUGUGUACGCCGAGGAACUUAAAACUUUCCACCUUCUCCACUACUGUUUCGUCGAUGUGGAUAGGGGGCUGCUCCCUCUGCUGUUUCCUAAAGUCCACGAUCAUCUCCUUUGUUUUGUUGACAUUGAGUGUGAGGUUAUUUUCCUGACACCACACUCCAAGGGCCCUCACCUCCUCCCUGUAGGCCGUCUCAUUGUUGUUGGUCAUCAAGCCUACCACUGUAGUGUCGUCUGCAAACUUGAUGAUUGAGUUGGAGGACAGACCAUCCUGCAUUGACAGCUACAUUGGCAUUCUACAUCCGAGCAGGGGGAAAAUACCAUUGAUGUGUACUGGCUGUUCGAUGAUGGAGUCAUGGCCCUCGUCGGCAAGUUCCGCCUUGGUUUCCAUGACGUCAAAGUGCUGCCUGAUAUCAAUGGAAGACCACAACAUGAACAGUCAGUGCUCUGUUGAGACACUUCCAUCUGCCUCGCUGACAAGUGUGAGGAGGUUUGAGGAUCUGAUAGGGACCUACAAGCUGAACACCGACUAGAAGCAUGCAGCUGAGCAGAUGAAGCAGGUCUGUCCCUGGGUGGUGUCUGGUGAGGAGAUGGAGAGAAAUAAGAUCAUUAACUGGGAUUCGAGGGCCCAAAGGGCAGUACCACUCUAUUGCCAAAAUGUCAAUUGUAGCAUAGCUAGAUGUGGAAUACAUGUUUUGGAAUUUUGACAGUAUCAUUGUUCUCUGGUUACUGUACCUCCAUAUAUGUGUUUUUGCUCCAGACCCUUCAACAGAUUCGUCUGAAUGAGGUUCUCCAAGAUUACUCAAGGGAUGCAGCCAUGAUUGUUAUGUACAUAUUUUGUAUUUACAAACCAGAUGUCUUUCUUGCAUUCAUUGACUUCAACCCACCCCAUCCCAUUACAAAGCCCAUAAAGGUGAGAGGGAUAUUGGAGUGAUAACUGAGCUAUGUUCUCUUAUUGACAGAGCUAUAAAAAUAGAGUCGCACACUAUAUAUAAACUCCCAGUAAUUUAUUGGGUAAAUCACCAACGUUUCGGCAUCACUGUGCCUUCUUCAAGGUAACGUCAUGAAUGCUUGAACCAGGUUAUGUAGACAAACAGUGCAAUUACUGCAACCAAUAAAAAUAGUGAGGGGUGUGUCAUAAUUAUUACGUUAAUUAGAAUGAAUUGAGUGAAACUGUUUAAAAACUAUAGGUUAUAGCAUAUAUA